rnacentral:rRNA from 1 species
AUACGGAGGGUGCAAGCGUUACUCGGAAUCACUGGGCGUAAAGCGCGCGCAGGCGGCUAUUUAAGUUGGAUGUGAAAGCCUACGGCUCAAUCGUAGAACUGCAUCCAAAACUAUUUAGCUAGAGUGUGGGAGAGGAAGAUGGAAUUAGUUGUGUAGGGGUAAAAUCCGUAGAGAUAACUAGGAAUACCAAAAGCGAAGGCAAUCUUCUGGAACACUACUGACGCUGAGGCGCGAAAGCGUGGGGAGCAAACGGGAUUAGAAACCCCGGUAGUCC